GAGCUGAAAUCAGAACUUACUGCUGUUUGAUCCAGUAGCCUGCUGUUACCAGCGUGUGUAAAUGACUCACAAAAAUAGAAAGACAGCCCUUAGCAAGACACCUCAGAAUAAAUGAAGACGUGGAAUUAUUCAGCUUCUCUGAGUGCGAGCUGAUCAAGGGGUCGAAAAUGUAGAUCUUGCCAGAUGUUCACUGUCUGAGGAACAGGCCGUGGAAUAAAGCAUUGCUGGCAAAAGUGCUCAUAACCAGAGAGUGGAACGCUUAUGGAGAGAUGUUUGGAGUGCUGUGACAUGUCAGUACUACAACUUGCUGCACAGUUUGGAGGAAGAAGGAUACCUUGACCUGUCAAAUUCUAUCCACCUCUUCUGUGUGGGGAUAUGUGUUCCUACCUCGUCUGCGGGCAGAUCUGCAGCAUUUCACAGAGAGUUGGAAUAAUCACCCUUUAAGUACAGAGGCGAACCUGACACCUCACCAGCUGUGGCAUAUCGGAAUGCUCCAAACAUCUGUGCACAUUUUUGUUUUUGCCUUAGCACUACACAGCUGAUUCAAAUGAUCAAGUCAUCAAGUGGUAUUUUUGUCUAAUAAUGACAUAAUGACACGAUCUUCUAUCGUUUGUCCCCGUCUGUCUGUUUUUCAGCAUAAAGUACUCUGUAGCCACUUACGGUGGACACCAGGUGAGACCACACACACACACAAUACCAGUCUCUCUUCUUCACUUCAUCCCUCUCCUCCUUCUCCCUAAAUCCUCUAGGUUAUAUCAGCUGUGUUGGUGAACCCCUCCCGCAUCUGAACUGGCUGACACAGAGGGCACAGCAUGAUCAUAGGUGUGAGGUCACUUGGUCAGGUAUGUUUUGAUGUGAGAGAGGAAGCCAGUCCCGUCAUCGCCACCUCACCCGCUCUGAAGAUAACCUUCGGGCCAACUGAGGGCCCAAGGAUGGUUAGGAGACACCGCUAGAACACUGUAAUUGUGAUGAACUGAGGGAAUAUUAGGGUAGCACUGUAAUUCAUUAAUCAUAUGCUGUCUGUCUCUGUUCUUACCUCUUUCCCUUUCUGUCUUCUACACCUCUCUCGACACCUCAUCUUUCUUCCUCGUUUUAUAAUGCACACCAUAUGUGCAUUGAAGUAUAGAUUGAACUUGUAUUUAUAAUAUAAUAUUACAAUUAUCAUAAUUAUAAUGCAUGUAUUAUGUAUUUAUGACACCUUGAUAAUGAACUUCUUUCAUUAAUUAAAGCGUUUCACAUUCUCCAAUGGUUGAAA